GAGUUUGUGGCGAAAUUGUCAGGGUUUAGGAAAAUCAGGGUAGUUAGUUGAAAAAAAAAUGUGCAGAUCUAAAUAUAUGUAUAUAAAAAAAAUAUGAAUUAAAAAAAAAACAACGGCGUUGCUAGCGCAAAAUUGCGAUCAUCGCAACUGGAUCGGAUAACACAAAUGUCACGCCUCAUACACGUAUAUGUGAAAACGGCGUAUUGAC
rnacentral:lncRNA from 1 species